GACGAACGCUGGCGGCGUGCUUAACACAUGCAAGUCGAACGGUAAGGCCCUUCGGGGUACACGAGUGGCGAACGGGUGAGUAAUGUAUCGGAACGUGCCCAGUCGUGGGGGAUAACGUAGUGAAAAUUACGCUAAUACCGCAUAUGAUCUAUGGAUGAAAGCGGGGGAUCGCAAGACCUCGCGCGAUUGGAGCGGCCGAUAUCAGAUUAGGUAGUUGGCAGGGUAAAGGCCUACCAAGCCAACGAUCUGUAGCUGGUCUGAGAGGACGACCAGCGACACUUGAACUGAGACACGUGCCAGACUCCUACGGGAGGCAGCAGUGGGGAAUUUUGGACAAUGGGCGAAAGCCUGAUCCAGCCAUUCCGCGUGCAGGAUGAAUGCCAUCGGGUUGUAAACUGCUUUUGUACAGAACGAAAAGGUUUCUAUUAAUACUUGGAGCUCAUGACGGUACUGUAAGAAUAAGCACCGGCUAACUACGUGCCAGCCGCCGCCGUAA
rnacentral:rRNA from 1 species